UUUGGUUAUGGUUUUUCAGUUUUACAAUUUUACGCUGUGAGUUGAGGAAAGCCGGUGAGAAUCCGGCGCUGUCCCGCAACCGUAAACAAGGUGUGCAGUCCAAGUUGGGUGCGCAGAUUUGUGAGUCGGAAUGCUCAACUUGUGGUGAUGCUUCGA
rfam:Actinobacteria bacterium IMCC26207 IMCC26207_109, whole genome shotgun sequence.